rnacentral:lncRNA from 1 species
UGCUCAUCAGUAAGAGUGCCCAUCUCUUCAAUGUAGAAGGCUUGCCCGAACACAGUUGGUUUCUUCAUUUUCUCCUUGAUGUCAAAGUGGAGAACAUGCCCUUUACCCAAAUGGAGAUCAAUCGUGCCCGCUUUCACCUUAACAAUUGCUCCUGCUGUAGCUAAGAAUGGCCUUCCAAGAAUCAAUGGGUCCUGAGCCUCCUCACCCAUCUCAAGCACCACAAAAUCUGUAGGUAUCUCAUACCUUCCAAUCUUCACAGGUAGGUCUUCUAAGAUGCCCACAGGGUACUUCACUGAACGAUCAGCUAACACCAGAGAGAGUCCACACUUCUUGUACUGAGUGAAUCCCAGCUUCUUUGCAACAGACAAAGGCAUCACGCUGACACUAGCUCCCAAAUCGCAGAGACAUUUCUCAAAUACCAUAGGUCCAAGAGCACAAGGUAGUGUGAAGCAUCCUGGAUCCUCUAACUUCUCUGGAACAUCAAGCCUUUGGAUGAUGGAACUGCACUCAUGGGUAAGAAUCAUCAUGCUUUCCAUUUCCUUCUUCUUUGCAGCUACAACAUCUUUCAGGAACUUGUUGUAUUGAGGAAUCAACAUGAAAGCAUCGAUGAUGGGCAUUGCAACCUGAGCUUCACUCAUUUGCUUGUCAAACAAAGCCUUGAACUUCUCUAGCAGCUGCCUCUUGAAUCUACCAGGGAAUGGUAGUUUGGGUUCAUAGGGAGGAGGAACAAAAGAGUUCUCACUUGCUGGAGCAAGAACUUCACCAUCUUUCACUGUUUUCUUCGCUUCCCCAACCUUUCCUUUACCCUUGGCUUCCACAAUCUUCUCCAAGAUUUCAUCAUUGAUUUUCUCAUCAACAAUCACCACUUCAUCAUCUAAGUUGAUGGCCACCUCUUCACCUAGUUUCUCAGCAUCACUGGUGAGGGUUGUAGGAGGUAACUGCUUACCACUCCUAAGGGUGAUAGCUUUGGCCUCCUUGGGGUUUUGGUCAGAUUUUCCAGGAAGAGAUCCUUGCUGGCGAGUCUGGUGAGUGUUCAUGGAAGCAAACUGAUUCUCUAAAUUCUUGACUGUAGAAGCAAGAUGUGAGAACUUGUUGUUGAGCUCAUUGUAGCUUCCAUCAAUCUUGGAAUGAAGGUUUUUCAACUCAUAUCCAACAUGCUUCUCACUUCUAGUCUGAGACUCCAAGAUUUGUUUCAGCAGGGUGUCAGUGCUGCUCUCUUGAGGAGCAGAGGAACCAGAUGAGGGGUUUUGAUGAGGUUGAUAGCUGCCUUGCUGGUUGUUUCGAGGCGGAUAACCACUCUGUUGGUUGUUGGGGUAGGAUUUCUGUUGGUAGUUGUUGUACUGAAAGUUGGGCUCUUUUUUGUACCAGCUACCAUUGUUGUUGAUGAAACACAGGUCUUUCUGACCUUCCAAGCCCUCAACCUCAUGGACAACAGGUGGUGUAUCUUGGCUUGGGUUACCAACAAAGUGCAGCUGCUCUUGUGUGGCUUUAUCGGCAAGGAGGAUGUCUAUCUUAUCCUGUAGAGCUUUCAACUCCUUCCUCGUCUGCUUAUCAUCUGUUCGACUGCUUCUGUCGUGGUCUCCACUGUAGACUGCAUCACUCUUUACCAUGUUGUCAACCAGCUCCUCUGCAUCUUCCUCAGUUCUCCCCAAGAAGAACCCAUUGCUAGCUGUAUCCAGUCUGGCCCUGUACUUAGGAAGAGCACCACGGUAGAAUGUGCUCAGCAAGCUCUCCUUAGAGAAACCAUGGUGUGGGCAUUGAGCUUGGUAGCCCUUGAAUCUCUCCCAGGCUUCACUGAAUCCUUCCAAGUUCUUCUGUUGGAAACUGGAGAUCUCAUUUCUCAGCUUAGCAGUUCUUGAGGAUGAGAAGAAUUUCUCCAAGAAUGCUCUCUUGCACUCAUCCCAAGUGGUGAUAGAGUGGCUGGGUAGAGACUUCUCCCACUGACAUGCCUUAUCCCCCAAAGAGAAAGGGAAUAGCUUGAGCUUUAAGGCAUCUUCGGACACACCAUUGGUUUUUGACAACCCACAGUAGCUGUCGAACCUAUCCAAGUGAUCAAAUGGGUCCUCCAGAGCCAAGCCAUGAUACUUGUUGUUCUCGAUCACGUUGAGGAGUCCUGACUUGACCUAAAAGUUGUUGGCUGCCACAGCUGGUGCUCGGAUUCCGAAUCUGUGACCAUGUAUGUUGGGGCGGUCGUAAGUGCCAAUGGGUCGAGCUGUCCGCGGUUGGUGUUCUGCCCCUUGCGGUGGAUCUGCCAUAUCAAUAUCCAAGUGGGCCUGGUGUUCUUCUUCUCUUCUAGCUCUAGCACACUCCCUCUCAAAAGCUCUGAUGUCUGCUACUAUUGGAACUAGGUUUGAUUGACCCCUGCUCCUCAAGUUCAUACACCUGAAAGUGAAAGGUAGGUGAAGAAGAAGAAUCAGUAACAAAACAAAAUUAAAAUGACUUAGUCUCAAGCAAGUGACUAAAUCUCAAUGUUUAAAUCUACUCAGAAUUUGGCAACGGCGCCAAUUUGAUGUUAGGAGUUUUCAAGGCUCCUAAGACAAAUGUUGUAGUAUAGUGAUUGUCGAACCAGUUCUGAGGGAUAUCAAAGCACUGAGAAUGCAAGUACUCACUUAAUCUAAGUGCAACCAAUGAUUUAGAUGGGUUUUAAGCUCCCAAUUUGAUGUUAGGAGUUUUCAAGGCUCCUAAGACAAAUGUUGUAGUAUAGUGAUUGUCGAACCAGUUCUGAGGGAUAUCAAAGCACUGAGAAUGCAAGUACUCACUUAAUCUAAGUGCAACCAAUGAUUUAGAUGAGUUUUAAGCUAUGACUAAAACUAGAAAGUAAUAACAGAAUGAUACUUCUUGACUAAGGGAUGACUAAAACUAGAAAGCAAUAACAGAAUGAUACUUCUUGACUAAGGGAAAAGAGAACUCAUGGGCAUAGGGAUUAGACCUUGGGUGAUCAAGUAUCGAACUAAGGAUGGCAAAUGAUCAAUCAAACUAUCAACCUUAAGCCUAGACACAAUUCUAAGCAAGCUCUAUGUCUAGAUGAAUGCUCAUUUGCUAACAUAUCUCAAACAUCAAAUGUCUUUGGUUGAAUAAUAUGAAAGCAAUCAUUACGAACAAGUCUAUUAGCUAUCUUAGCAUUUUUAACAACAAAUGUCUUUGGCAAAGUAUACUAAAAGCCUAGGAGAGUUGUCUCAGGCAUUUCAUCAAACACCUUUUGGGUGGGAAAUGCCUAUUGAUCAACUUUUGAGUGGCCAACUCAGAAGAUGCAUUAUGAAUACCCUACUAGCAAGGAACAAGAAUGAUCUACACUAAAACAUCCUAGAACUAACCUAAUCACCCUUGAUCUCCCUAACCCAUGAAUUCAAAAGGUGAUUACUCACUAAUCUCCAUGAUUCCUCUUAAACCCAUAUUGGAUUUCAGAUUAAUCAUGUAGAGAAAUAGAUAAGAAAUAAACAAUAACACAAGAACAUAACAAUCAAAAUCCAAGAGAUGAACUUCUCAAGAGAGUUUUUGUGUAUUUCUUAAUAGAUCAAAAGAUAAUCUGCCUGGUGGUGGCUUCCAGAGUAAAAAACAUAGGUUUAGAAAAUAAAAACGUGCAUAAUGAAAUGACCAAAAAGGCCCUUGAGAAAACAUGAAUUCGGCCAAACAAAUAGACGUGGAGCGACCUCGGCACGUCGCUGCGAGAGGUCGCUCCCAGGUCGUUUCCUCGCGAGCGACCUGGCUGUGUCGCUCCGAAGACGUCGCUCCCGGCUUGCUCAGAAACCAUAGACGCGAGCGACCUUAGGGUGUCGCUCUAGGAGGUCGCUCCCGGCUUGUUCGUCGCUCUCAAAUCGACACAACCCGAGCGACCUCUGGGUGUCGCUGCGGUGAGGUCGCUCUAGGAGCUGGAGCGACUUCGCCUUGUCGCUCUAGGAGGUCGCUCCGAAGCGUAGAUGGCGAGCGAGUUCAUGGCGUCGCUCCGGUAGGUCGCUCCCAUGCAUUGCUCGUCCAAUGAUCACUCUAAUCACCUCUUAUCACCUCCCUUGAGCUCCAAAUGUACCCAAAUGUCUCCAGGAACUCCAUGUGGUACUCCAAUACCUAAUGGAGACAUAUGUAUGCAAAAUGCAACCUAGACAUGGCUUAAUCCUAAUCUAUAUGAUGAAAAUGCACAUGAAUAAAUGGAUAAAACAAUGUGAAUAUGCAAGAUAUCAACUCCCCCAAACUUAUUCUUUUACUUGUCCUCAAGUGAACUUUCUAGAACUCAUAGGGAGAGAGGUUUGAAGGUGGGAGCUCAUAGCCAAAAGAAACACACAAAGCACUCAAAUCAACAUUUAAAUUCAGCAUUAGUACACCCUCUCUUAUUAUACUCUAGCUUCUCUAGGCCUAUCUGAACUCUUUCCAUCCCUACACUCAUCAUCAUGCAUUCACACAUGCAAAUCAGCCAACUCUCAAGUUCAUUAAGCAUAGCAUCAAGUGAAUUUUUGCAAAUGGUCAAUUGGUCCAAGUCAUUUGGUUGGGUAAGGGAAGGCUUUUAUUCAAGUGAGUCAAGAGGUUCAAAAUAUAUGAUUUUAAAGGUGGUUCACUCUCAAAACAAGUAGCCUUGACAUUGCACAUAAUAUAUCUAAGAAAGGGAUCAACUCAUGCAUACAAUGCUCAAUCUCCAUUGUUAUACCCUUUUCCCAAACAUACAAUUACACAAUCAUUCCCAAAUGUCAAAUCCAACUCACAUCUCUCACCAAAAGAUCCUAAGAACAUUAACUCCUUCUCUUUGAAAUCUACAAGGGAUUUUUCACAACCUCAAAACAUUACUUAGCUCCUAACAACUUUGCUAGCCACCCUUUUUCUUUCUUUUUCUUUUCUUUUCAUUUUUUUUUUUUUUUUAGAUGGGGGCCAAGACUUUUCAUAACUUGAGCUAGAGGUUUUUCUACUUAUCCCAAUAAGACAAUUCACUUAAACACAAAGAGUCAUUUAUUUUCCUUUUUCAUUGCUCCCAAAUCAUAAUCACAACUCUCACCCCCCACCUAUAGCUAGACAAUAGAUUGCCCAAUCUAGCAAGAAUGAAGAUCAAGCAUUGUCGUUCCCGAUACUCUCAACAUUAUGCACAUGUAAGACUUUCCGAAGAAGGCCUCACUCAUCAAACAAUGAAAGCUUAAAAGGAGGGAAAGGUUUUGGGAGUGGUCUACCACUAGAGUUUGUCAGAAUAAGAUUGGCAUAAAGGAUGUGACAACUCAGGUGUGUAUAGCCAUGACUCAGUACACAAGGGACCAUGAGCAAGAAGCAUUAAGUUCGUUUAGUUCAAAUAAGGUUGUAGUUGGCUUCAAAGACUGAGUUUCAGCAAUCAACAAGUUUCAGGAAGAGUUUUCAAGGCUCGAAACAUACAAGUCUUUUUGAGAGGUGCAAAAGCUACUCAGGUGCAACGUAGUGUUCUUUACAAGGCAUUUAAAAUCAUUGCUCCCAAUGCAAGUAAAUGCAACCUAUAUGCUCUAGACUCUCCUAGAAAUGCCAAAGAUGCAAACUAAAUGAAUUUUUUUUUUUAUGCAAAUAUAUAUGUAUAAUGCAAUGCAUGAGACUCAAAUCAUCAAAGCAAACGUGAUCAAAUACUUGGUACCUCCCCCAAACUUAAAUAACACAGUCUCUGUGUUGUCAAGGAGAGAGAGAUACCCAAAAAGAGAAAACUAAUAUGCAAAAACGAAAUGGUAUAUACAAGGGAAAGUAGUGGGUUACCUUCUAUGGAGAAUGAGUAGAGGGAGAUGCUCCCUCCUCGUCGUCCUCAGGUGGUAACUCUUCAAGGUGCUCAUCAGUAAGAGUGUCCAUCUCUUCAAUGUAGAAGGCUUGCCCGAACACAGUUGGUUUCUUCAUUUUCUCCUUGAUGUCAAAGUGGAGAACAUGCCCUUUACCCAAAUGGAGAUCAAUCGUGCCCGCUUUCACCUUAACAAUUGCUCCUGCUGUAGCUAAGAAUGGCCUUCCAAGAAUCAAUGGGUCCUGAGCCUCCUCACCCAUCUCAAGCACCACAAAAUCUGUAGGUAUCUCAUACCUUCCAAUCUUCACAGGUAAGUCUUCUAAGAUGCCCACAGGGUACUUCACUGAACAAUCAGCUAACACCAGAGAGAGUCUACACUUCUUGUACUGAGUGAAUCCCAGCUUCUUUGCAACAGACAAAGGCAUCACGCUGACACUAGCUCCCAAAUCGCAGAGACAUUUCUCAAAUACCAUAGGUCCAAGAGCACAAGGUAGUGUGAAGCAUCCUGGAUCCUCUAACUUCUCUGGAACAUCAAGCCUUUGGAUGAUGGAACUGCACUCAUGGGUAAGAAUC